UACGGAGGGGGCUAGCGUUGUUCGGAAUUACUGGGCGUAAAGCGUGCGUAGGCGGUUGUGCAAGACAGAUGUGAAAUCCCCGGGCUUAACCUGGGAACUGCAUUUGUGACUGCACGGCUAGAGUACGGUAGAGGGGGAUGGAAUUCCGCGUGUAGCAGUGAAAUGCGUAGAUAUGCGGAGGAACACCGAUGGCGAAGGCAGUCCCCUGGACCUGUACUGACGCUCAUGCACGAAAGCGUGGGGAGCAAACAGG
rnacentral:rRNA from 1 species